ACCGCCCCGCCAAGCCGUCCAAGGGCUCAGCUGGAGACACAGCAGCAUGCAGACUGAUGCUCUAACAGCAGGGAUAUAGCAGCAGAGCACCGGGCGGAUAUCGGAGCUGCAGCAUGGGCGUGGGAGAGAGGCACAGCCUAAAGGAAAGCGAUGUAAUUCCACGGACAUAAGAAGGGUGGGUGGGGGGAACCCGAGUAGCGUUGGAUCAGAGUUGUCCCGGGUGUAUUUUGGGGCUUAGUUUGGUGUCUUGUUCUCUUAAAUUCACCAAACACAGUACUUUUUUUCCCUGCCAACCUCCAGUGUAGUUUAAAAGGAUGGAGAAGGGCGCUCAGCAGCAGCCGCCGCAGCAGCUGUCCAAAAGCGCAGAGAGUCCGGCGGACGACAUCUCCAAAUUAAACGACGAGGAGCUGCUGAAGUGGGGCAAGGAGGAGCUGGUGCGGCGGCUGCGGAGGGCAGAGGCGGGGAAGAGGAGCGCCAUCGUGGAGCACGGCAAUCUGAUGCGGGAGGUGAACCGGAGACUCCAGCAGCACCUCAACGAAAUACGGAGUUUAAAGGACGUGAACCAGAAACUGCAGGAGGACAACCAGGAGCUGCGGGACCUGUGCUGCUUCCUGGAUGACGACCGGCAGAAGGGGAAGCGGGUGUCGCGGGAGUGGCAGCGCUUGGGCCGCUACAGUGCAGGCCUGAUGAGAAAGGAGGUGGCCAUCUACCUGCAGAAGCUGAAGGAACUGGAGCAGCGGCAGGUGGAGGUCAUCCGGGAGAACAUGGAGCUCAAGGAGGUGUGCCUCAUGCUGGAGGAGGAGAGGGCUGUGGCUGUGGCUGGAGGGGGAGGAGGUGGAGGUGUGGGCAGUCAUGGGGUUCCUGGCCGUAGGAGCUCUAUAGACAGUCAGAGCAGCUUGUCUCAGCUUGCUGGAGGUGUCCCAGCACCUGGACUACUGCGGGACGUUGGCGACGGGAGCAGCACCUCCAGUGCGGGGAGUACAGAUAGCCCAGAUAACCCACACCUCAAACCCCCUCCCCUGGGCUCCAACCACAGCCCUGGAUCAAGAUGUGUCUCUGCAGAGCACCCCCACAAACCAGGAGAUGUGUGUGAAUCCACAGGCAGGAGGCACAGCUCCACCCCAGAGUACCAUACCUUCCCCCAGGCCUGUCGCCCCCGCGGGGGGUCCCUCACCAACCUGGACCCUCGUGGUCUUCGGGGACACAGCCCAGACAAACACAGCAAGUCUCCCACCAGGCAACCAUGUGACUCCCACCCCAAACCCUGCAGCUCUGACCUACUAGCCCAGAAACAGCUAUUGAUGUCAGGGCAGGCAUCAGCAGGCUGUGGGAAGGGAACAGCCAAGUCCAGCCCAGAGCUGAGUCAGAGACACCGGCCAGUUAACAUGGCAGGGGCAGGCUGUGGGAGUCCUGAGGCCAAGCCGACAGCGAUGGGGACGCCUGAGCACCUGAGAAAGGGGCGGGUGAUUGUGGGUAGUCCAGAGUCUAUACGGCACCACCAUCACUAUCAGCACAGCUCUGGGAUGGAGCACGACAAGGGGAGGUAUAGCAGUGGCUCCCCUGGCAGGGACGGGGGUCAGAGGAGGAUGGCAGGAGAGGAGAUGUCCCCCCACCACCAGAGUCUGUACAACGGUAGGCACAGGCUCUGAUAUCUGCUGGUUGCUGCACCAACUCCUGUAGGAGUGUAAAGCUUUGGGACAGCUUCGAUGCCUCCUGACCAUGACAUGCCUCUUGAUCAGAUGCUGCUGUGACAACACACCCCAGAGAGAGAAGCAGAGGGUUAUUAGCAGGCUGGAUGGCUGGAUGGAUGGAAGGAUGAGUUGAUCGAAGGCAUAACUGGAUGGAGAAAUCAUCAUGAAAUUCAAAAUCAAGCAGCGAGGGCGAGGGAGCAGAUGAGUGCAACAAGGCUACAAAACACUGGAAAUACUUGAACACUCUGUCCGCCCUGUCUGCUGUGCUGCUGCUGCUGCUGCUGCUAUGCAUUCCCCGUGUACCACCAGAAAAGACUGAAUGUCAUUGUUUGGAUGGGCAGAGGCUCAUCCCUGCAUUGCCAAAAUGAAGACAGGAAGAGAGAUAAGACAGCUGAGAAUCUUUGUGUUGCCAACAAAAUAGUCCUACCUCUUUGGAAAGACAGACCGUCUGGAUGAAAGAACCUGUGCAUGGAAGAGUAACACUGGAGGUUACAGCCCCUUCUCUUUACAAUCACAAUGCCAGUGAUUAUUUUUAAACUUAAUACCCAACAUGUGAUGAUGGUAACUACUUUUACAAAGUCAAUGUGGGCCUGGAAUUAAAGCACAAAAGAAGUUACUGAGUCAUUUUAACUAAAAGUUUUUUAGUUAUAUAAAAGAUAUUUCUGUUUUUAUUACAACUUCUUCCUAUUAUUCUUUAUUUUUGUAGCCUUAAUUAUAGUAACAUUGUACUCACCAAAGUAAUAGCUGAGAUCACAGAACACGGCAGCAUCGCUACAACAAUCCAACAUGGCAAAAAUCUUCUGUUUUCAGAGGAAAUGUACAAUUUCCGCUCAAGUGCAGAAGGCCUUCUUCAAAAUAAACUUACAAAGUAGGUAAAAUACUUUGUUUUUAGGUUGAUAUCCUGAAGUUAAGGCAAGACAAUUUAAGGCAAAACUCUAUGGUUAGGUUUAGAAAGAACAUGAUUUGGCAUAAAAUUCACACGAGAACCGAACAGUGGGCCCUUUUUUGCCCUUCUACUUCCACUCCCAUCUGCCCUGGAAGGACUUAUUCGGUCUUUAUAAUUACAGUAGUUGCCCGCUGCGUUACAAACUGCUGCAGACUGGUGCGUAUCAUACCUCCAAAAAGGAUGCCUCUUUGCGUCAGUGUCUAAUGCAGAGGUCCACUGACUCAGCAGCGUUGCUUGUUGCCUCUAGAACUGACGUGCUCAGUGCGUAUCAUACUGCUGCAAAAGGGGCCUCUGUGCAUCCGUCUCUGAGGCCGAAAUCACUGACAAAGCAGCAGUUCUCAAACAUUCGUUUAGCCAGUAAGUUUAGAUAGAUUAUCAAAACCACCUUUAUUUGGACGUUACACUGAAAGUGAGGUCAUCACACAUGUUAAAAGUAAUCCCUCACUGCAAAUGAAAACUUGCAUUGUACAUUUCUGCAAACCACAAAAACGCUAACAAUUGCAAUCUAGCGACUGGGUCGAAAUAGCAGUGAGUUGCAGCCAAGUCUGAGUCACCGCACAGACUGUGGCUGUAAGCCUUUUACCGUUUUCAAAAUCCCCUUCACUACGGGAAACAACAACAACAACCUCCGAGCUAACAACUUACAUGCUGAAAAAUGGCAAGUUUGGAUGUACAUUUUGGAUGUGCAAAUAACACAUGCCUUUUUUGUUCUUUCGGUGAAUUGUUGUCAAGCUCUACAGCCAAUAAAACAACUUGUGAACGCACCUCGGAAAAUCCCAGACUCCAAUUUGCAGGACUCUGGGGCCCCCAAUGUUGAUCCGUUUUCUGGCAUGGUCAGUUGGAGCUCUUUAGCCACUUCUGCCAAGUCUGUCAACGGCAUGCACCAGUGACAGUGACUUCAACCGUUCCAGUUCACAUGAGCUUCUGUGAUAUUGUUGUAAUAAUGUUCUGCAAGAACCAAAUACAGCCAGCAAAUCAUCUGGGGUUUUGACAAGUCCAGUGAGCUCCUCUAGAGCUGAAGUAUGAUAAGGCUUCACCUCUAGGGCAGGUCUGGCUAUGCGAGGUGAGUUGCAGCCCUAAACUUGAUGAGUACAUUGUUAUUAUUACUACGACUACAAAACGCUAGGUUGUAAUGAAGACAAAUUAUAGUUUAAAGACCUCCGUCAAACAAAUAUUUUGUUGAUGAAAUUACAACACAGCCAUUAAUUCAGAUUACUAGAAUUUGACACAGCAGUUACCAGCACAGAUAGCAUUUACCACCAUUUGAUGAAAAUAAGCUAACGGAGAACCAAACCAGUUCCAGUUGCCAUAUUUGGAAGUAUACAUAGCUUCUGUGAGAAAUUUUGUUCCUGUGUAGUUCUGAGGCAUUUACCCAGGGUGCAGUAACUGAAUGGGUUACAGAGAAAACAUAUAGGGAUAUGUGGGGGAAAAAUUUAAAUAUGUUGUUGUUUAGAGGAGGAGAAAAGGUUUGCUCAUCUUCUGCUCCUCGUUCAGCUUUUGUGUCAAGGUCUGUUCCUAUACCGACAGUGUUAGAGUAUUCUAAACCUUGUGUCAGCGUUCAGUCAUAUAUAUGGUGCUGUGUGUGUGUGCUUGUCAUUUUCUACACUCCCGAGUAUUUAGACAUGGACAAUAUGCCUUGUGCCUCAUUUCAUCACAGCAUGUUAAAGGUGGAGUCAGCGAUUCUGGAGAAAGCUUGUUGAUAUUUAAAUUUAACACCCAAUCAAAUACACCUCUGAUGUUAUUAAGGUGUCAUUACUGUCAAGGUGUAGCUCUGUUCCUCAUGGCCAAGGAGGAGGGAUGUAGAAGAGGAAGAACAGCCAACAUAGUGUUGUGUGGCUCAUUACAAGCCACUCUAUUUGCAUUCACAGAGCCAGGGCUGUGCACUGUAUGUCUUAGCACACACACAAAACUGACAGCUAGCCAACCAUGAGGAGGUAUUCGCUGAAUUUAACAAAAAGUGUAUUGGAUUAGAAUCGCUGACUGCACCUUUAAUGAGAGAUGAUAUAGUUGCAAGAAGACAAAGACAGACCAGGAAAGGAUUUUUUGGCUGUACAAUGGAUAUUCAGCAACACUAAAAUGAAAAUGUAUUAAAUCAUACAGUUGUACAUUAACGUACAGUAAACUAGUUCUGUUUUGAAAGUUUAUUGAGGCAGCACAAACAUUAAUUUAGGGCAGAACUAAGAGAAAAGUAUCUUUUUUUUUUUCUUUUUUUUUGUGUUGAAAUUGCUCUUAUUUUCUAAGAAUUAGUCUUCAUAAUUUUAAACAAGACAUGAAUAGAGUCAGGUAGAAGCAUUAAAAGAGUCAGAAUUAGUUUUUUGUUGUUCAAGUCCCAUUAAGUCAGAAAAAAAAAAUACUUAGACCAAAACAUAAUUUUCCAAGAUAAAUAUGAGCAGAUCUACAGAAGCCAUGAGAAGCAACGUGAAAAAAACCCAAAACUGUGGGCAGUGUUAGCCAGAACCUAAGUCCGUCUCCUACAUAUGCAAUAUUGUCUCUCACGUAUGCGAUAUUAUGUCCUACAUAUGGGAUGUUGUCUCCUACAUGUGAGAUGUUAGAAACAUAACUUAUUGUCAACAAUGCCCGCAAAAACAAAAAACUUCAUCUUGCUCUUCAUCUUGUUAUCUGUGGUUAUAAGCCUCAUAGAUAUUGGUCAGUAGGUUCAGAGGGCUGAUACAUAGCUGUUACCAAGUCAUUAGGUUUCACUUUCCGUAAGUUUAGGCACAAAAAACCGACAUGGUUAUGUUUAGACAGAAUCAUAGUUGGGCCUCAAUAUUGGACCCCUGUUUCCAGGGUGAAAUCCACCACCCCUCCAUACCACCCUAUAUGCAGACUUUCUUGGACAUGGGAGAAAGUCCUAUGCAAGUAUUAUUUUGGGAAAAGUCUUUCUGGAGCAGGGGUGAUUGCUCUGAGAUAACAAGGGAGGCUGAACAUCCCCUAAAAUUUUAUAGAAGAAAUGGUCAAAUAUGCACUAUUGAAUUUACAUUAAAAUAAGAAUUUACAUUGCAUUAAACGUGUACUAGGAUGCGUUUAACAUCAUGAAUAUGAUGUUUAAACGUCACCUGUUUAUCACCAGUUUUCAAACGCGACCGCCCUGUCAUACAUUCUCUGUCAGCACGGUGGAUGCGGAGCCUCCAACCUUUCCUAUGAGACAGCGCUGAGCAGGUUUUUCUUAUGCAGCAAAGCGAGACGGUCAUUGGAUAAAUGCGACAAAAUCGUCACUUCCAGGGAGGCUCAGUUUCCCUGGGACCUAAUGGAGCAGUAGGCGGGAGAGGACGCUCGGUGUAUGCAUGAUGAUUGGAGGAAUUGUCUAAAAGGCUGAACCCCUUUGUGAUUGACAGCGCUUUUGAAAUACACACUGGAGUCAGCGCAUUUCGAGCUCAGUCCCAUGCAGAUAUUUGCGAGUGGAGUCUUCUGACAGAGUGCCGUCCGGAGUUCCUUAUUUCCAUAAGCGAUAUAGCUCAUUUUCACCGUUAAACCCAUCUGAACAUCUUUGAGGUGUGUUUUGCUGUGGUUCAUGAGUGUGGUUGAAAAACGGCUUCAAUUAAAUGUUCCUUUUAUAAUUUACUGCCUCGCUACAAUAUGACAAAUUUUAUGAUGUAAACUUAAAGUGAGCUUCCCCUGUUUGAAAGACCAGCAGCCGCCACUGUUCUGGAGGAACAUUUCAUUUUAUGAUCUGAUGAUGGCCCUCUCAACCUAAUAGUGGGUGUGGCAGACCCUUUCUUAUCCAUAUAGAUGAUGCUUAUCACCACUGAUACAGGCAUUUUAUGGCCUGAUAACAGCCAAAUUGGCUCAAGAUGUAACCACACAACUAUACUUAGGCUCAAGCAGGCAAUUUUGUCCAAAUAACAUUCUCUUAUUGUUGGCAAUUACGUGCAAUAGAAUCUUAAUGUUAACAGUUGAUCAGAUGAAUUAUGUUCUGUGCAGUAAUUAGUUUUAGAAAAAUAAACAUACUGUAUAUUUUACAAAGUAAAUUAUGCAUUGAUGCAUAUGCGUUUGAGUCAACAUAAGGUAAACCAAAAAAAAAAAAAAAAAAUCAGAAAUGGCAAGGAAUACAAAUAUUUGACUGUGAAUGUGAACAGUGAAUGAUGCGCUGACAAAUUUAACAGGAAUUCUUACAACUCUUCAACAACUUUGUGUCAUUUUCACUUCAUAUCUACUGAGCUAGAUUCUGAACAUUGAUAGUCUUUUAUAAAUGACAAAAAAACACAUAUUUUCUUUUUUUUUCAAAAAUAAAAAUAAAUAAAAAAAUGACACAAAGUGCUCUUUCCUCCUUAAUAAAGGAAUAUGGGCAUGCGUAUCCUCAUACAAUGGUUUGUAUCCUGUGAAUGAAUGCCCCACAAAUGAGGUUAUGUACUUAACAUAAAGUUACGUGAAAGUCCUGUGUUUUGUGACCCAUCCACCACCCCAACCUCCGGCCUUAAGGGAGCGUUUCCUCCUUUACUCCUGUCAGCGCAUUGGUUACUUGAUCACAGCCUUCCCAAAAGCAUAGGAAAAUUAGGACAGGAUAAAAAUUAAAAAAUUGUGAGAACAACCUGCACUCUUUAGUAUCACAAUUUCAUUAUAAAAAUCACAAACCUUUAGUCAACCCAUAAAUGUGCUAUAGGUCUUGUGCUCUUAGAUUUUUAAGGCGUAGAAUCAUCUUUUAAGUUUCUAAAAGAACGAAGGCUCUAGUUACUGUAGGUGAGUUAGUGGAAACUUCUUGGAUUUAAAUGCUCCCACAUACACAUACAUUUUCAAAUUCUGUUUUGUUCUUUGCUUUCACAGAGGAAAAUAGAUUUCACUGGAAGCACUGAUGCACCAAAUCCAAGGUCAAGAUUUAACAAGAAAUGACUUACUGACUUAGCAAAAUAGAACUUAAAGUUUGUGUCGAGAAUGUGUUUAAAAUCAUCCAUGAGAGAUUCACCAGGGCCAGUACGUUUCCUGACAGCAAGCUUAGUUUCAGCAGGAUUAGCAUUAGGGGGAUAUCUGUCCUCACCAAAAUAAGUGAAGUGAUUUAUGCCAGAAUGUUUACUUUCUCUUUAAAAGCAGAGCAGAUGAAAUGAUCAAGAUGUGUUGUCCUUAUAAGACUGGAUGCUUGGAUGUGUGGAAAAUGUGACAUUUUACUUUGUGCACACACAGUGGCUCACAAUAGUAUACACAUACAGACAUACACACAUAUACGUACAUUUAUCUUGAACCCAUACUGUAUAACCUCUUUACCCUCCCCCUUUUUUUUAGAUUUGGUGACAGAUGAAACAAGACCAGAACUAUAAUAUAUUAUCAAAGACCUUUAUGUUUUUAAAAGUCAAGAGUAGUAUAUCUGCUUAGUUUUAUAAAUAUAUAACUACAGUUAUUAUUUUUGACUUCUUGGUAAAAUAUAACUAAUUAUUAUAACCAGAGAUGUAUGUAUAAGCUA